rnacentral:rRNA from 1 species
CAGUAGCCACGGUAAUACGUAGGGGGCAAGCGUUAUCCGGAAUUACUGGGUGUAAAGGGAGCGUAGACGGUUAAACAAGUCUGAAGUGAAAUGCCGGGGCUCAACCCCGGAGCUGCUUUGGGAACUGUAGAACUGGAGUGUCGGAGGGGUAAGCGGAAUUCCCAGUGUAGCGGUGAAAUGCGUAGAUAUUGGGAGGAACACCGGCGGCGAAGGCGGCUUACUGGACGACAACUGACGCUGAGGCUUGAAAGCGUGGGGAGCAAACAGGAUUAGAUACCCCAGUAGUCCCUGUCUCUUAUAC